AUUAUAUGUAUCAAUUAUAUUUAUUAUUCUCUAUGCAAUUGUAAAACAUAUCAUGCAUAUCAACGUCGUAUUUAAUUCGGAUCAUUGAGAUUACUACACGACCAUUUAAAAAAGGUCUACAUGCAGAGAAACUGAAAAAUGAGGUCAUAGUCUAUUGACAUUACCUACUCCAUCCAACCUAAAUCCAUUGAUCUAUUAUGACCAAUGCAAGCUUAUAGAAUUAUUGGAUAGACGCAUGGUGGGACAUCUAUCACCAUUUUCACUUGUAAUUGAUAUUUUGUCAUAUCUGUCCAUAUCUAUCACCGUAGUCACGCACGCUUUCUACGAAAGAUGAGAUAAGUUUUUAAGGUUACUAUUUCUUUUUUUAUUUGUAGAACGAUGUAUUCUUUCAAAGUUUUUAAUUAACUCAUUGUACUCAUUGCUUCUUAUAUAUUAUAUUAUGCAUUAUUUAUGUCAUUCAUUUAAUGAGCCUUUCAGAAGGUUUCCGGCCUUAAAAUCAAAAUUGGCAUUUUGGAAGUUUAUUAAAUGAUAUUCGUUUGUAAAAACUAAGAACUAACCUCUAAAUAUGAGUUUAAUUGAAAGUUUUUGACUUAAAUAAGAAAUCAAGAAAUAAAACGGAUCAAAUUAUUUUUAAAGUAAAGCAUAACAAUUUGAAGAAACUGGUAUUAAAAUGGACAUUUAGUAAGACGUUUUUACUUGGUAUGAAACAGUGUUACAAAUGAAUGAACUAUAUUUAUCAUUGAAAGAGGAUCAGAAUGAAGUCUGAAAAAUCAAAUUGAAAAAUCCAGAAGAUCUCUAAAAAGAAUAAUAACGGAUCUGUCACAAUCAUGCAGAGAAUUGACAAAAUAUUUUCAAAGAAGUAUCCUGUUAAUUGAAUUGGCCAAUCAUUGAUGCUCACUAAUCUGUUACUUUAUUUAAAAACAAAAGAUGAUGACGUCGAUCCAGAAAUGUAUCAUGCACUGGAUUAUUAUUAAGAAAAUGAACGCAACAGAGGAAUAUUCAGAUGGAAUAUAUGGAGCGCAACAGAUGGAAUCAUUGUGGAAUAAAUUGGACUGGCUUUUAAUUGGUCCUCAACGAGUAUAUAGCCACUAUAAGAUCAUGUCUCAAUACCGUUCAAACCUCGAUGAUUACUGGAUUUUUAUUGAACAAGAACGUGGUUGUUAUUCGUAUGAAAUUAGAAAAGAAAAAUAUCUUAGGAUUCAGGAAUAUUGAUAUGUAUUCGUCACUUAGUCAAUGGUUUCUCUAUCGAAAGAUUCAUUAUACAUGCAAUGAUUGAGAAAAGAAAGAGAACUAUUCAAGAGAUCAUCGGAAUCAUCUUAAGGGAUAUUGAAGAACAUAGCUGCAGUAAAUAUAUAGAGAUGAAAAGAGAGUAAAUUUAUCCUAUCAAAUCUGCUAGCCUAAUAUCAAUCCUGGAGAAGAAGAAAAGCAUUACAAAUGAUACUUAAGAAGAAUUGUCACUGAAGGUUGUGUGGAAAUCAAUUGUAAGAAAGCUCAUGUGUCAAUUGUCAUGGAAUUUUGUUUCAUCGAUCAUACGAAAUAUAUUUUCUACUAAUUGAAUAUGGAAAUUGGUUUGUUUCAUGGUGGUAGAACGAUCGUUGAAAGAAGAAUAAGAUGUGAAUCACGUUCUUGUAUCAAUUUUGCUGUGGCGAUUUAUUCUCACACAUAUUUUUAUCUAUUCAAUGAACCAAUUUAGCGGUAGACGCUUUGGUAAUUAAAUGUAUCGUCGAGCAGUGCAAAUAUGUAGAUAUCCGAAAAACAAAAUAAUCAUUAUAGGGAUUCAUCAGUUAAAGUUUCUGUAUUUCCAGUUUCCAAGUUUUUUAUGGAAAAGAACAAAAAAUCCAUAUACUAAAGCAUCAUCGAAGAUUUGAAAGAUUGAUAUCGAUAAUAACGAUAUUAGGAAGCUUUAAGCAAAGCAUUGGCUUAUUUGGGAUUUUUAUUUGACGAUCAGUUGAACGAUUUGAAGGAAUAAGUGAUUAAAUGUAUAGCUAUACCAGUGUCAAGUUUUUCAUUAACUAAUUAUUUAUCAUGUUAUGAACAAAAGCUCGAUCACUGAAUACGUGAUAAGCCAUCGUUUUAAUGUCUAUAGCAUUAAACGCCAAGAAAAUUUUCAUUAGCAAAUUCGAUAAUUAUUUUUUUUUCUUUUUUUUUUUUUAAAUAUUGUUAUUAUUACUUGAAAACAUUUUUCUUAUCGAUAAGCCUCAGUGUAGCUUAAACCUAUAAGAAGGAUAUGCCGAUCAUUUAUUUCAGCAAAAUAUACAGAAAGUCGAAUUAAAAGAAGUAAGCGAAUAGACGAUUGUCGGAUUGUAUUAUUGUAUAUUUGAGGAAGAAAUGAAUUAAAGGGUCAGCUGAAAGUUCAAUUCAUUUAACGUAUAUGAUUCAUUCAGUCGUUAGGAACAAAAUAAGAACUAGAUUUAUUAAUUAUAUUUGAAUCUUUUUAAUAAAUAAUAAAAUAAAAGUUAUUAUAAACCUAAAACUUAAAAUCGCAUUUUUUCAAUAACUAUCGAAUUAAAAUGGAGAAAAUGAUAGCAUUGUAAAGAGAAUGAAAAUAAUAUGCCUCUCGGCCUCUUUUGCCAUUUAAGAUUUUCGAAGUCGUUGUCAUUCCUUUAGAAAAUUAGCUUAAAGAAAAAUAGAUUUAUGAUAAGGACUUAUCCUCCUCGAAGACAAUAUUGAUCAGAUCUGAUGUUUUUUGAAAAAGUCAUUAGAUUUUAUGGUUGACACUUUUCGUUUGGACACUUUGUAUAUGUAUAUAGGUUACAUAGGGUGAUUAAUAUCUUUCCUCUUUUAUCAUUAUGUUUAUCUUCGUGUCUUUGUGUCCUUAUAUAUGAUCGUUAUCAGUUAUUAAAAAUAUUUAAUGAUUAGUAUCGAAGUAAAUACGAUAUAUAAUGUGCCAUGUAUAAAGCAUCUCUAGAAUUAUUAAAAUGAGAUAAAUUAAAUCAUCCUGAAUGUUUUGUAAUAAAAUUUUCUUGUGAGAUUCGUCUUCACACCGAUUUUAAGAGAAAGGAAAACGACAUAUAAGUUAACAAAUUAUUAGAACAGUAAGCAGACAAAGAUUCAUUAUUACAUAAUCUCGUUGAGUUACCACGUGUAAUACGUCGAAUUAGUAUAUGUUUAGAGUUGAUUGUGUACUUUCUUACAGAAGCAUUUCAUUAAUUCAUCAGUUUUCUUCUUAACUAUCUCUUUAAUUAGUGUUAGAAGUAAUGAAUAAAUAGAACAUGAGAUUUCUUUUUUAUAGAUAAAUAGUAACAUGAUUAUCGUUUCACUUUGAAUAGUAAAGUGUAAAUAUUUAUAAUAACGAAUGAUAAAGAUUUCUUUACAGAGAUAUAUUCUUGGUAAUGUAGUUUUUCUUAACUUUCGUCAAUUUACGUGAUUCAAAUUGUGUCCAAUUCUUGAUUUCGAUAAAUUCAUCCCAAAAUCGAUCGUUCGAAGCGAUGUCGAAUUGAAAGUUUUUCGGUAUAUAUUAUUUAUAGCAUACACACACAAACAUACAUUGUGUAUAUAUAUAUAUAUAUAUAUAUGUAUGUAUGUAUGUAUAUGUUAUAAAUGCUGUUGUUAAAAGUAAUAAAAAUAUAUAUAGAAAGAUAUAGGUCCGGUAGUGAUUAACAUAAAUUGACAGAAGUACACGAGUACAUUAAUGCAUCAUAUUAAGUACCCUCUCUGUGAUCUCAUCAGUCAAAUAGUAAUAAAUUUGUUGGAAAUUACUAAAAUUUCAAAACUACCAAAAGUCACUUAUCAUUUAUAGUUCGUUAGUUUCACAUCACUGUUAAUAUUUUCUUGCAACUAUUUCUGUUAUGUUUCGGACGAAAAUUGUAUACAUUGCGUCUUUAAUUAAAAUUAGCAUUCGUCCAUGCAGCUAAUUUUACCAAUUUCUUCAAAUAAAUGUAAAUCUUUUUGUCUUAUCUUCGAGAUCGUUCAUCAAUCAAUCCACUUUAAAGUAAGAGCUUUGAAUUUUAUGAGUAUCUUGUAUCUUCAAUCUUACUUUUUGACUAAUCUAAAUAUUGGACGUUGAUUAUUUUUCGUAAUUUAAUUUUCUUCGAACUGAAACGAGACGAAAUAAAUAGUUAAUAAACAAUGUCACCUGUACGUAAUUUUUUUUUUGUAUCUACAUUAUGGCAUCGUUGUAUUUGUAUACACACACUUCCAUACGAGUAAAACAUAUACCAACAAAAGCGAAUGAUUAUGAACCCCUUUAUUUUUAUCGUAAGAAGAAUUUUGAAAAUGAAUAUAGUAAUAUUAUUAUUAACAAUUUCCAUCAUUAUAAUUUUAUAUUAUAUAUAACGUAGAGAAAUGAUAGUAUUCAUAUACGAUGUCUUUUUUCUCGCAUAUAUUCGUUGUAAGGAACUAUUCACAAAAGUACAAAAAAAGUAAUUACCAUAAUGAUAAUAUGUGUAAUGUUAUGUCGUAUUACUUCGAGGACUUUAAACUGUUAUAUAUAAAUGUAUAUUACGGAAAUGUAUUUUUAUUUACACGUUAAACAUAUAUAAAUUUUCUAUCUUCUCGUGUGAUAUUUAUUGUAUUUAUUAUACUUCAGUGAGCUAUAAAUUCUUCGGUUAUACUAAUCAAAUCAUUUUGACUUUACUUGCUAAUCUCUGAUGUCAUCAAUCUCUGAAAUCUUGAAGAGAACUUGUUCGCAAGAACGAUAUGAAAUCAACUCUAUUACCACUUCAAAAAAUGCAAUAACGACAGCAUUGCGGCAUAAACAAUGCGUAGUUUCGUAAUAUAUUGCGAAGUAAAUCAUUUACUGGUUUUAAACCAAUAUUGUUAAUCGUAAAAAAAAGAAUCGUUAGAAAAAUGAACAGUUGAUUUUAUUAAGAUACAAUACAAUACCGAUAGGGAAUACGAUUAACAUUUUAAUUUUCAAAAAUUUUCUUUUUUUCUUGGAUGAAAAUUUAUGAUAAAAAAAAAUCGGUAAAAAGAAACGAGCAAAGGUAACAAGUAGCGUUACAUGUUGCAUUCAUAAUACGUACAUUCAAACCCUCUAAAAUUCCAGUCGACUGCAUAAUAAAAGGAAUCCACAUACUUGCAAUCCACAUCUCGUUUCCUUCUCGCUCUCUCUCUCUCUCUCUCUCCCUCUCUAUCUAUCUAUCUAUCUAUCUAUCUAUCUAUCUAUCUAUCUAUCUAUUUAUCUGUCUCUCACUCUUUCCUUCUUUCACUAUCUCCUUCUUCUAUCAUCACUCAUUCUCUCUUCCUUCUCACUCUUUCUCGCUUGCGACAUAAGUGAUUUCUUCUUCCGAUUGCUUUAUUCGAUAGCUUCUUUUAUUUUUCAGAGCACUUUGCUAACAAAUAUGACAUUAAUGAAUGAAAAAAUUUGAGUUUCAAUAAAGAAUUUAAAAAACCAAUCAUAUACUUUUAUUAAUUCUUUUACCGCUAUUAACUAUACGGAACUGUUACUUAACAGUUGUUCAAAUAUUCUUGAGGGCUUGUCCAUCGAUUGAUUUGAAAAUCAUCUUAAGUUUCUUAUUAAUUGUUAUUGCUCAUUUACGCGGAAACGGCUAUCAGUUUAAAACCGGUCAUACUAAAAAAAAUGUUUCUGGACUAUAGUACUAGAAUCGUAGUUAAUAAUACUAGACAUAGCUAAGUUAUAAUAAAAGUUCAAGUUUUAUAAUUAUAUUCAUAUAUUUUUAAAUUUCUAUUGAAUAUUUUUCAUAUUUCAUAUUCAUAUAAAUGAUAAGAAAAUUUGUGCAUAGUAAUGGAUAAUAUAUAACCCAAAAAUAAAUACGCCCAAACUGUAUAAGAGUGAAACCAU